rnacentral:rRNA from 1 species
UGGGGAAUCUUGCGCAAUGGGCGAAAGCCUGACGCAGCGACGCCGCGUGAGUGAUGAAGGCCCUCGGGUUGUAAAGCUCUGUGGAGAGGGACGAAUAAGUGUUGGCUAACAUCCAGCAUGAUGACGGUACCUCUUUAGCAAGCACCGGCUAACUCUGUGCCAGCAGCCGCGGUAAGACAGAGGGUGCAAACGUUGUUCGGAAUUACUGGGCGUAAAGCGCGUGUAGGCUGUCUCGAAAGUCGGGUGUGAAAGCCCCGGGCUCAACCUGGGAAGUGCACUCGAAACUUCGAGACUCGAGUCCUGGAGAGGAAGGCGGAAUUCUCGGUGUAGAGGUGAAAUUCGUAGAUAUCGAGAGGAACACCGGUGGCGAAGGCGGCCUUCUGGACAGUGACUGACGCUGAGACGCGAAAGCGUGGGGAGCAAACAG